CGCAAUUACCCUCCCCUAAACAGGACAACUGUUGAACUCUGCUGGAUUGCUAAUCAGUCUAUUACCUUCUGCAGAGAAAGGCAAUAUGAACUCCAGGCCACAAGAUAAGAUAUACAACACUCAUUCUCUCUCACCCUGUGAAGAGGCAUCUUCCAACAUGAUCAUGAGUUUCCUGAGGCCUCCCCAGCCAUGCAGAACUUAACAACGCCUUUACUACAGAACAUUCCAUGUGACCAUGCAGGCGACAGUAUUCUUAAAGCUAUAUGCCCCAACAACAG
rnacentral:lncRNA from 1 species